UCCUACGGGGGGCAGCAGUGGGGGAUAUUGCACAAUGGGGGAAACCCUGAUGCAGCGACGCCGCGUGAGUGAAGAAGUAUUUCGGUACGUAAAGCUCUAUCAGCAGGGAAGAAAAAUGACGGUACCUGAGUAAGAAGCCCCGGCUAACUACGUGCCAGCAGCCGCGGUAAUACGUAGGGGGCAAGCGUUAUCCGGAUUUACUGGGUGUAAAGGGAGCGUAGACGGCGAUGCAAGCCAGAUGUGAAAGCCCGCGGCUCAACUGCGGUAGUGCAUUUGGAACUGUAUGGCUGGAGUGCAGGAGAGGC
rnacentral:rRNA from 1 species